AACGAACGCUGGCGGCGGGGUUUAGGCAUGCAAGUCGAGCGAGAAAAGCGCAAGCUGAGUACAGCGGCGUAAGGGUGAGUAAUAGGUAGUCAACGUACCGGGCAGACGCGAAUAAUUUCCCGAAAGGGAUUGUAAUGCGCGAUGAGAUCACGGGCACCACGGUGCAUGGGAUCAAAGGUCGGGGAUCCUUCGGGACCUGGCGCUGUCUGAGCGGACUACCUCUGAUUAGCUAGUUGGCGGGGUAACGCCCACCAAGGCGAUGAUCAGUAGCCGG
rnacentral:rRNA from 1 species